UCCUUUCCUCACUUGGCACAAAUUUGCAUCUUUCUUGAUUUAGCAAGGUUGUUGUGCAUCAGCUAGAGAACAAUCAGGAAUACUUAUUUUUGUACUUGGACUCUUUGCAAAAGGUGAACUGUAACAAUAUAUUUCAACACAAGUUGGUUUCCUUGUAUGCAAAGUAUGAUCGUACAAAACUAUUGCCAUUCUUACGGCGUUCAAAGGAGUACGUUAUACAAGAUGCAUUGGAGAUAUGUAAACGAGAAGAAUUUUAUCUAGAGAUGGUUUACUUGCUGGGUUGCAUGGGCGGAGUGGAAGCAGCAGAAGCCCUUAAUAUAAUAAUUCAUAAGAUGAGAGACGUUGAAAUGGCAAUAGAAUUUUGUAAAGAGCAUGAUGACAACGAUCUAUGGAAUAGAUGAAUAAAUGAAUAAAUGAAUCCACUAAGCAACCUGAGAUUAUAACGAAAGUUUUGAAUGGCAUUGUGGAUUUUGUUAACCCAGAAGUAGUGGUUAGUAAAAUAAAGAAGGGCCAGACCAUACCAAAUCUUCGGGAAUCUGUAAUCAAUAUGCUAUGGCACUACAAUAUCCAACAGGAAAUGCUAUCCACCGCUCAAAGAAUGCAGCUUGAUGAUUAUUUUGAUACCCACUCCGAGGUGGUUUCAUUGCACCGGCGCGGCCAACAAGUAUCCCAUGAUCAAUGCUGUGCACAGUGUCAAUGUCCAAUACUAAUGAAAAAUGAUACCUUUAAUUCCAUAGUCGUGUUUAAAUGUGGUCAUAUGUAUCACGAUCUGUGCAAUCUUAGCAACGAGUACUGCACAGAGUGUCAAACGUGGAACACUAAGCCUACCAAAGUGGAAUAGAUCAGAUAACCACAAUUUAUUGCAGUUGUCAUUCUCAUGUAUGCAGUUCCAAUUAAAUAUACUAUAAAUAAUUA